rnacentral:rRNA from 1 species
GGAUCGUAAACCUCUUUUAUAAGGGAAUAAAGUGCGGGACGUGUCCUGUUUUGUAUGUACCUUAUGAAUAAGGAUCGGCUAACUCCGUGCCAGCAGCCGCGGUAAUACGGAGGAUCCGAGCGUUAUCCGGAUUUAUUGGGUUUAAAGGGUGCGUAGGCGGCCUUUUAAGUCAGCGGUGAAAGUCUGUGGCUCAACCAUAGAAUUGCCGUUGAAACUGGGGGGCUUGAGUAUGUUUGAGGCAGGCGGAAUGCGUGGUGUAGCGGUGAAAUGCUUAGAUAUCACGCAGAACCCCGAUUGCGAAGGCAGCCUGCCAAGCCAUGACUGACGCUGAUGCACGAAAGCGUGGGGAUCAAACAGGAUUAGAUACCCUGGUAGUCCACGCAGUAAACGAUGAUCACUAGCUGUUUGCGAUACACUGUAAGCGGCACAGCGAAAGCGUUAAGUGAUCCACCUGGGGAGUA